GACCAUCUUCAAGAGCCUCUUCAAAUGAUUUUGGCCGUGAAGAAGAGCAUAGGAGAAGGAGGAAUCCACCACAAUUUCAUGGACAAAGACCUCAUCAUCAAGGGGAAAGACAUCACUACGGCAAUGGCUUCUAUCAAGAUGCAAAGUCUAGGCUUCCUUCGGUCAAGCUUCCUUGUUUUAAUGGCUCUAGUGAUCCUAAUGUAUAUUUAGAUUGGGAGGCUAAGUGUGAACAAAUAUUUGAGAUCCA
rnacentral:lncRNA from 1 species